AAAUUCAAACUUUAUUUUAAAUUUGAAUGGCCAACCAAUCAUCCUUAUCCAUUCAUAUGGCACAUUAAAGUGGGGCGUGGAGAGGACUUGGCAUGAGAAAAAAAUUUAUGAGAAGUUCCUUCUCAUGAAUUCAAAUGGGUGCAAUGGAAGUGAGGUGGCGCAUGGAGAUUGGGUCAAGGUGGUUUAAUUAUUUAAACCAACCUAAUUGAACCAAAUAAGUUAGGUCCAAUUAGACUAAUUUAAACCCAACUUAAUUAGGCUUAAUUAGGCUCAAUAAAAUCCUAAUC
rnacentral:lncRNA from 1 species